rnacentral:rRNA from 1 species
GACGAACGCUGGCGGCGUGCCUAAUACAUGCAAGUCGAACGAGAGCGACCGGUGCUUGCACUGGGCAAUCUAGUGGCGAACGGGUGAGUAACACGUGGGUAACCUGCCCAUCAGAGGGGGAUAACAUCCGGAAACGGAUGCUAAAACCGCAUAGGUCUUCGAACCGCAUGGUUUGAAGAGGAAAAGAGGCGCAAGCUUCUGCUGAUGGAUGGACCCGCGGUGCAUUAGCUAGUUGGUGAGGUAACGGCUCACCAAGGCCGUGAUGCAUAGCCGACCUGAGAGGGUGAUCGGCCACAUUGGGACUGAGACACGGCCCAUACUCCUACGGGAGGCAGCAGUAGGGAAUCGUCCGCAAUGGACGCAAGUCUGACGGAGCAACGCCGCGUGAGUGAAGAAGGUUUUCGGAUCGUAAAACUCUGUUGUUAGAGAAGAACAAGUGCUAGAGUAACUGUUAGCGCCUUGACGGUAUCUAACAAGAAAGCCACGGCUAACUACGUG